UACGUAGGGGGCAAGCGUUGUUCGGAAUUACUGGGCGUAAAGCGUGCGCAGGCGGCUUUGCAAGACAGAUGUGAAAUCCCCGGGCUCAACCGUGGGAACUGCAUUUGUGACUGCAUGGCUGGAGUGCGGCAGAGGGGGAUGGAAUUCCGCGUGUAGCAGUGAAAUGCGUAGAUAUGCGGAGGAACACCGAUGGCGAAGGCAAUCCCCUGGGCCUGCACUGACGCUCAUGCACGAAAGCGUGGGGAGCAAACAGG
rnacentral:rRNA from 1 species